rnacentral:rRNA from 1 species
UACAGAGGUCUCGAGCGUUGUUCGGAUUCAUUGGGCGUAAAGGGCGCGUAGGCGGCGGGGUAAGUCUGGUGUGAAAUCUCGGAGCUCAACUCCGAAAUUGCACUGGAUACUGCUCUGCUAGAGGGCUGGAGAGGAGAUCGGAAUUCACGGUGUAGCAGUGAGAUGCGUAGAUAUCGUAAGGAAGACCAGUGGCGAAGGCGGGUCUCUGGACAGUUCCUGACGCUGAGGCACGAAGGCCAGGGGAGCAAACGGG